ACUCCUACGGGAGGCAGCAGUGAGGAAUAUUGCACAAUGGGCGCAAGCCUGAUGCAGCAACGCCGCGUGAGUGAUGAAGGCCUUCGGGUUGUAAAACUCUGUCCUAUGGGAAGAAUAAAAUGACGGUACCAUAGGAGGAAGCCCCGGCUAACUACGUGCCAGCAGCCGCGGUGAUACGUAGGGGGCAAGCGUUAUCCGGAAUCACUGGGCGUAAAGGGUGCGUAGGUGGCUUAUCAAGCCAGAGGUGAAAGGCAUUGGCUCAACCAAUGUAAGCCUUUGGAACUGAUUAGCUCGAGUGCAGGAGAGGUAAGUGGAAUUCCUAGUGUAGAGGUGAAAUUCGUAGAUAUUAGGAGGAACACCAGUGGCGAAGGCGACUUACUGGACUGUAACUGACACUGAGGCACGAAAGCGUGGGUAGCGAACAGGAUUAGAUACCCUGGUAGUC
rnacentral:rRNA from 1 species